rnacentral:lncRNA from 1 species
CACAAGUCCCAACCCAACUCUUCUGUGAACUGCCUUGGUCAUGUGCUUUAUCAGAGCAACAGAAAGGUAUUUGCAUGCACGGUGUGCACACUUGAAGUCCUCAGAGCCAGAAGAGUGUGUCAGAUUCCCUAGAACUGGAGGUAAGGAUGGUGUGAGCCACGAUGUUGGUUCUGGAAACCAAAUCUGCAUCCUUUGGAAUGGCAGCCAGUGCUCUUAAGUGCUGAGCCAUCUCUCUAGGCUCAUAUGCAUAUAUAUAUAUAUAUAUAUUUUUUGAUACAGGGUCUCGCUACAUAGCCCUGCGCUGGCCUGAAACUGUUUAUGUAGACAACGUUGGUAUUGAACUUACAGAGAUCUACACGCAGCCACCUUCUGACUGCUGGCAUUAUAGAUAUGUGCUACCA